rnacentral:rRNA from 1 species
UACGAAGGGGGCUAGCGUUGCUCGGAAUCACUGGGCGUAAAGCGCACGUAGGCGGACUCUUAAGUCGGUGGUGAAAUCCUGGAGCUCAACUCCAGAACUGCCUUCGAUACUGGGAGUCUCGAGUCCGGGAGAGGUGAGUGGAACUGCGAGUGUAGAGGUGAAAUUCGUAGAUAUUCGCAAGAACACCAGUGGCGAAGGCGGCUCACUGGCCGGUACUGACGCUGAGGUGCGAAAGCGUGGGGAGCAAACAGGAUU